GAGCGACCUCAUGUCACUCAAACCAGCUGUAUUAAGGAAGGUGCAAGCUUUUGGGAUUUCUGUUUGGAUUUAGUUUAGGUUCAAAAGAGCACGCACAGAUCCUGAGUGUUGUCAAGCACCCGUGACUGGGAAACGGAGGCGUCCGAUCCGUAUUGGAGUCAAUUCGCCACUUAAUUGAACACAGCCUCGAAGGGAAGGGCCAUAUUUGUGGGCCUGUCUAACAAUUAAGAGUGACCACAUGGAAUGGGGGAUGAAAGGGUUAAAGAAGAACAAAUAUUGAACACAGCUUUUCUAUGAACAAACUGCAGGCAGCUGCUGCUUUGCAAGGGAAGCAGUUGAUUGAGAAUAAUGGUUCUGUUUUGGAGGUUGAUGGAAGAUGCCCUUUGGCCAGGAAAACAGCUCAUGCUUUUAGAGGAGGAUAAUUGCCAGAAGGCCUCUCUGAAUAAAAAAAAAUCCUGACCUCACAGCCUUUGCGCUUACUUGGGUUAGAAUGCCACAGUGAACAUUGCCCCUUGUCAUCACGUAGAGGUGCUCACAGGUAAAGCAACACAAGGAGCAUAUAGGAUCACCUGCUGGAUCUUGUUUUUAACACCAGGGAGGAAAAUGGUGUCUUGGGUAAUGAACAUGCCUCAAGACUGAGCUGGCCAUCUUCAGUGUCAUCCAAACCCUCAGUGGCCCCUGAAAAACCCUUUGAAAAGAUUCAGCACGUUGCCAUGGAGAACAUCCCACUGAAGGAAUGUAUAGAAGUAGCAGGGAUCUGCAAUGAGAUGGGAGAAGGCAACAGGCUGUGUGGGAACCACUGAAGCUGGGAUGGCAGGGAAAGAACAUCUUAGGCUAACUCUUCAAGCCUUGCUGUCACAUUUGCUUUUGAGUCUAUGGUGUCAGCUGCCUACCAGUUGCUUUCAUCUCUAGAAAUCUGUGACUUGCAGUAUGACAAGAACAAAAGGUGACAAUACAAAGGACAAAGGGCAAGGAAUACAGACGGAGAAGCCGCUUAGAGUCUAGGAUGGCAGAGGUUCUCUUGAUCAUUUCAUUUUUGAGCGCUUGUAGAGCUUUGGUGUACCAGAGGUGCUUGAACAGCUUACCACACCACAGAUGAAUGGCCUUUGGAUUUCUCCUAAGAAAAUGUGGCUACCUGAAAUUCAACUCCAUUUUCUGGUCUUCAAUAUUUCUUUUGUGUUCAGUUUGCCAGCUGAGGAGAAGUGGCUAAGCAUAGCCUGUUACUGAUGCUAAAGCCCAAGUUCUGAACCUAACAACUCCAGCAACAUGAUCCUGUUUCAAGAGACAAAAAAGUGACUAAUGAAAGAAAACAAUUGAUGUGCUAUGUAGAGUUUAAAAGAAGGUAAAGAGAAUAAAUUAAAAGCAACAACU
rnacentral:lncRNA from 1 species